UACGAAGGGGGCUAGCGUUGUUCGGAGUUACUGGGCGUAAAGGGCGCGUAGGCGGCGCACCAAGUCAGGCGUGAAAGCCCUGGGCUCAACCCGGGAAUUGCGCUUGAGACUGGUGUGCUCGAGUACGGGAGAGGAUAGUGGAAUUCCCAGUGUAGAGGUGAAAUUCGUAGAUAUUGGGAAGAACACCGGUGGCGAAGGCGGCUAUCUGGACCGUAACGUGACGCUGAGGCGCGAAAGCGUGGGGAGCAAACAGGG
rnacentral:rRNA from 1 species